AGGGACGUGGUUCAAUGGUAGAACAGAGGUCUCCAAAACCUUUAAUGCGGGUUCGAUUCCUGCCGUCCCUGCCA
rnacentral:tRNA from 2 species